rnacentral:tRNA from 1 species
GCGCUUGUGGCGAAAUUGGUAGACGCGCCAGACUUAGGAUCUGGUGUCGCGAGACGUGUAGGUUCGAGUCCUAUCAGGCGCACAA